GAGUUUGAUCCUGGCUCAGAACGAACGCUGGCGGCGUGGAUAAGACAUCCAAGUCGAACGGGAGAAUUGCUAGCUUGCUAAUAAUUCUCUAGUGGCGCACGGGUGAGUAACACGUGAGUAACCUGCCUCUUAGUGGGGGAUAGCCCUGGGAAACCGGGAUUAAUACCGCAUACGAUUGAAAGAUCAAAGCAGCAAUGCGCUAGGAGAUGGGCUCGCGGCCUAUUAGUUAGUUGGUGAGGUAACGGCUCACCAAGGCGAUGACGGGUAGCCGGUCUGAGAGGAUGUCCGGCCACACUGGAACUGAGACACGGUCCAGACACCUACGGGUGGCAGCAGUCGAGAAUCAUUCACAAUGGGGGCAACCCUGAUGGUGCGACGCCGCGUGGGGGAAUGAAGGUCUUCGGAUUGUAAACCCCUGUCAUGUGGGAGCAAAUUAAAAAGAUAGUACCACAAGAGGAAGAGACGGCUAACUCUGUGCCAGCCGCCGCGGUAAUUC
rnacentral:rRNA from 1 species